rnacentral:lncRNA from 1 species
GGCUACUUGGCCAAUGGGAAAGGGGAUCUCUUCCAAAAUUUGAAGGAGCUUUAUUGAGUCUUGACUAGCUUUAUAAGACCCAGUACAAGCGGGAAGAAAAGCCUAAGACUUGGAAACUGUCAAACUGAAGCCAUGUGCAAGCCAUCAAACAGAUCCCUUUAGCAAAGUGCAGAAGAUGUACUUAUUCAAGGUACUGGAAGUUCAGUACCCUCUCUUACUAGGUAUCCAGUGGACUUCCCAACAAAACAGCAACUUGAUGGGACAAGAGGAGGCCUCCUGGGACUACAUCUAGCACCAAGGUUCUUGUCAUCCUGAAAAGAGAAUUGGACAAGAAAACAUGCAAAAGAGUCCAAGGGCCAAAUCCAGACCAGUUUUUUUAAAAAAGAAUGUGGCCCAGAGAUAAGUGAAGGUCAGCUUCACUCUAGAAGAGUCAGAGAGAGGGGGAAACCCGCAGCCCUAGAACGUCUGUCUUGGAAUGCAGUAGCCACAAAGAGAACUGCUUGAAGUACGAGAACCAAAUCUCAGCCAUCUCAAGGGCAGAAAGACAACUAAGACCAGAAGCUUUCUGAGGGUGCAUCUCCAGUCUUUUGCAAAACAUGCCUCCAAAGACAAAAGCUAUGAUUGAUUUCAGUCACAUUGUCA